CAGAUUCUAACUGGAAGCACAGCAUUCUGACAGCAGGUAUGGGCUUCUGCUGGAAAAAAAAAGUCCUGAAAACUUCCCUCCAGGCAGUGGUGCCAACCCAGUCAGCUCCUGCCCUGUUGCUGUUGUGUUCCAUUUGCCAAGAAUACAUUGCGAUUCGGUAAAUGGGAGCUGCCUGCCUACCUGCCUGUCUGCGAUCACCCGGCGGCGUGCGCGUGAGCUCCCGGCCUGCGCGGGAGCUCCCGGCCUGCGCGACAACAGACCCAGGAAGGACCCAAGGACCCCAGA
rnacentral:lncRNA from 1 species